GAUGAACGCUGGCGGCGUGCCUAAUACAUGCAAGUCGAGCGAACGGACGAGAAGCUUGCUUCUCUGAUGUUAGCGGCGGACGGGUGAGUAACACGUGGAUCACCUACCUAUAAGACUGGGAUAACUUCGGGAAACCGGCGCUAAUACCGGAUGAUCUUUUGAACCGCAUGGUUCAAAAGUGAAAGACGGUCUUGCUGUCUCUUCUAGCUGCAUCCGCGCUGUAUUAGCUAGUUGGUAAGGUAACGGCUUACCAAGGCAACGAUGCAUAGCCGACCUGCGAGGGGGAUCGGCCACACGGGAACGGAGACACGGUCCAGACUCCUACGGGAGGCAGCAGUAGGGAAUCUUCCGCAAUGGGCGAAAGCCUGACGGAGCAACGCCGCGUGAGUGAUGAAGGUCUUCGGAUCGGAAAACUCUGUUAUUAGGGAAGAACAUAUGUGUAAGUAACUGUGCACAUCGUGACGGUACCGAAUCAGAAAGCCACGGCUAACUACGUG
rnacentral:rRNA from 1 species